GUGCUCACUUCGGCAGCACAUAUACUAAAAUUGGAGCGAUACAGUGAAGAUUAGCAUGGCCUGUGCACAAGGAUGACACGCAAAUUCAUGAAGCGUUCCAUAUUUUU
ensembl:snRNA U6 U6 spliceosomal RNA